rnacentral:rRNA from 1 species
UACGAAGGGGGCUAGCGUUGCUCGGAAUCACUGGGCGUAAAGGGCGCGUAGGCGGCGUUUUUAAGUCGGGGGUGAAAGCCUGUGGCUCAACCACAGAAUGGCCUUUGAUACUGGGACGCUUGAGUAUGGUAGAGGUUGGUGGAACUGCGAGUGUAGAGGUGAAAUUCGUAGAUAUUCGCAAGAACACCGGUGGCGAAGGCGGCCAACUGGACCAUUACUGACGCUGAGGCGCGAAAGCGUGGGGAGCAAACAGG